AACGAACGCUGGCGGCAGGCCUAACACAUGCAAGUCGAACGCCCCGCAAGGGGAGUGGCAGACGGGUGAGUAACGCGUGGGAACCUACCUUUCGGUGCGGAAUAACUCCGGGAAACCGGAGCUAAUACCGCAUACGCCCUUCGGGGGAAAGAUUUAUCGCCGAUAGAUGGGCCCGCGUCGGAUUAGCUUGUUGGUGAGGUAACGGCUCACCAAGGCGACGAUCCGUAGCUGGUCUGAGAGGACGAUCAGCCACACUGGGACUGAGACACGGCCCAGACUCCUACGGGAGGCAGCAGUGGGGAAUAUUGGACAAUGGGCGCAAGCCUGAUCCAGCCAUGCCGCGUGAGUGAAGAAGGCCUUAGGGUUGUAAAGCUCUUUUAGUGGGGACGAUAAUGACGGUACCCACAGAAUAAGCCCCGGCUAACUUCGUGCCAGCAGCCGCGGUAAGAC
rnacentral:rRNA from 1 species